CAUCGAAGGAUCGACCGACGUGGCGGUCUUCCUCCAUCCAGCGGCAGCGGCUCCAGCCUAGGCGAGCCUCGCGAGGGAUUCCGACGCGGCUGGGGAUCAAUCCGAGGCGAGGCUUGCCAGUGAUCCAACGACGGAGGGGAUCGAUCCGAGGUGAGGCAUCCGGCCUCCAUCUGAGGCGAUGCGCGCGAGGAUCCGGCGAUCGACAGGAUCCCGCCGCGUAGCAGAUGGGCGACGUUUCCUCUUUGCCGUCACCGUUGCUCCUUGCCGCAGCCACUCGUGGCCAUGGCGGCCAGGGUUCACCUCCAACCUCGGCGCGUCCCCUCCUCCCACUCGCCUCGCCCCCCACCCCACCCCCCAGCAAUGAGGAGGAGCAGCCGGUGCCCCCGCCCCCGAGUUCGCCGACGACGCCGUCCUCCGGCCCAAGCUUGCUGUUACUGCUCCUCCUCUCCUCUGUCCAUGGCUUCCCCAAGCAGUAAGUAAGAGCAGAGUCCUAAUUCAACAGGCCUCUUGAUGAACGGAGAGGGGCUGCAGGGGAAGAGCCAGGCAAUUUCAAAUCUUGGGAGCUAAGUUUUUCUAUAUGGAUGUGACGCUCCAUCAGCUUCCACAUACGGCAUUUGGAAAAGUUGUUAAUGGUGGAAAAAAUGAUGUGGACAAUUAAUAAGACACAACUGGGAUGCAAAAGCAUACUGAUGCUCCUGAGAGAAGACGAAUUCACCAUUUCAGAAGGAAGUGAGCCUCCUUAGUUUUACCUACAUUCUUAAACACACAAUCUGCAAAAUCAUCUGUACGUUUUUUCUUUUCUUUUUUCCACAAGGUAUUUGGUCUUAGUUUAUUAUGCAGAUUGCAUAAGUUAAUGUUCUUUGUGAUUGGACGCGUACAUACAUACAAUUAUUUUGUUUCAGAGAUAAAUUGCAUCUUGCUCGGAUUCUUUGAUUGCAGAUACACACCAAAAUAAGUUUUCCAUUUUAAAGGAUGGAGUUCGAGCAAUUUUUUUACCUAUCUGGGCAUUUUUUUUCUUCAGAAUUUUACUACAAACAUUGCUUUAUUUGUAGAAGUGGCGACCACACUGACAUCGAUUGGUACCUUUGGGGAGGGUCUUAGAGGUCACAAACCUUAAUGUGAUAUUGUCUUUUGAAAUUGUUAUCUUGCCUAAUUUGUCUUUUCAUCCAUUAGUUGGCGUACUAUACUAUCUUUCUACCACUUUGUUCUAUAGAAGUAUAGAACCCAACUUUUCAAGCCUUUGACUUGUUUUCACUCUGCAAUUCAUCGAUUCUGUUCACUCUGUAGUUUAGAGUGUAUUCUGGACAAAAUGUUGACAUUUUCUAUUCGGCUCUCUAUUCAACCAUCCUUAUAUUGUGAUGCCGUGCUAUAUAGAGUUACCUGAUAUUAAGCUUUUCAUUGUGUAUACCCAUGCUAGAAACAAGUAUGUACUUUUAACGGUUGAUAGGCUAUCAAUUAUUAUGAUUUACAUUCUACAUUUCAUUAGUAUACGUAUUCAUCCAUGUGAUUCUUUAUGCGAAUUUUGAGGCUGCCAGGCUAGAUAUCGAGAAAAUUGUGGUUUGGGAGUGACAAGAUGCACUGUUGAGUAGUUGGACUUCGCCCAUGGUAUUGUCUUCUCGAUUUCUAACAAAGGAGAACAAUACAAGUUGAUGGAGAGGAAUACUAUUUUAUUACGAUGUUUUUUAAAGUGCACAACUGAUAAUGUAUCGAAGUGGUACACAUGGAAGAUAAAUCUCAAUAUGUGGCAAUCUUUGUAUAUAUUAAAAAUGAAAUUUUGCUAGCCGGAGGAAAUUCUUCUCAUUGAAUAUGAUAUAUACAUAGUUUAGUUGCUAUAAUUUUGUGCUGGUUGUUCCAUCUUGGAAAGCAAUUGUCCAAUUGCAGGCUGAUUAAGUUGUAGCUUGACUAAGGGUGCAUUGGCUCUCCAUGUUGUUCGGCACAAAUUAUUGUGAAACAUCACCUUGGUCAUGCAAAGCUGAACUGGAGAUCUGAAGAGAGAAAUUCAGUGUAGCUGAAUUACAGCCUUUUCUAUUGCCUAUUAGCCUCGUCUCGCACAGGAAAAGCUGAAUUGCCCUUGCCUACACUCAUGUAUUACAUUAACAGUCUCCUACGUACGCCUACUUUGUGUUUUUGUAUAACUACCAAAUCAUAAAGAACACUAUUGCUAUUACUAUAUAUAUAUAUAUAUAUAUACAACCCUUCUAUAGGCCUGAAUUAU